UAAGACCUGGCCCCUGGGACCGAACUACUUUGCAGGCCUCACCUUCUACGAGUCUUUCCUUUGUAAGGGAUGCUCCAGGCAAAUAGCUCUUCUUCUUGCUAAUGCUGUAAAAACAUCAAAGAGCUGCAGCCUCUGGCUUAGCCUUCACCGCUCCUUCCCUCUGGAGACGUGUGCACUCCUGCACAUCACUCUAAUCUCUGCUUAGAGCCACCUAGGGGAGAGGUCCUCCCCAUCUAAAAGGCCAACUGUUGGGCUGCAUCCUGCAGGCCUGCAAGUCCUGGACUGGCCUAGCUUCAAGACUGAAGAGCUCUGAGUCAGCAACAGAUACCACUGUUUUCAUAGAUGGGGAGGUUACCUGUCUGAGACAAGGUCCUGGAGCGACUUCCCACUGUGUGCGCUGAACGUCCAUCCCCAUCUACCAACCUGAACAGUCUGACUAGAAGAACAGCCCUACAAACGUACCACAUGGACCCACAGCUUACACACAGAAGCCCACAGACAUGCAAGCAGGAGGAGAUUCAACUGCAAACUCAUGCCACUUUCCAAGAGCUAAACACCACUUGCACAGAAGUUAAGAGUAUAAUCCUUGAAGAAGAAUACCUACCUUUGGAAACCUGGCUCUGUCACUUAACAGCUGUGUAACCUUUAGAAAAAUGUCUAUGUUCUCUGUGUAUUAGUAUGCCCAAAAUACAUAAAAAAACAGUACCUUCUGGACAUAAGCCCUUAACACCAAA